rfam:Mustela putorius furo unplaced genomic scaffold scaffold00127, whole genome shotgun sequence.
GAGCAUAUUCUUUGUGACGCAUAAGGGCCUAAAGAUUAGAAGAAUGCCCAGGGUGCUAUGGUUCCUUGGUAGUGUAUGCAGCCUAUUGAUUGUAUGGGUUCCCCUAAGGGACCUUGGAGACAGCC